UACGGAGGGUGCAAGCGUUACUCGGAAUUACUGGGCGUAAAGCGUGCGCAGGCGGUUUGUUAAGUCCGUUGUGAAAGCCCCGAGCUCAACUUGGGAAUUGCAGUGGAUACUGGCAGGCUGGAGUACGGUAGAGGAAGGUGGAAUUCCCGGUGUAGCAGUGAAAUGCGUAGAGAUCGGGAGGAACACCAGCGGCGAAGGCGGCCUUCUGGACCAGUACUGACGCUCAUGCACGAAAGCGUGGGGAGCAAACAGG
rnacentral:rRNA from 1 species